UGCGCGUCCUAUCAUGCAAGUCGACGGCAGAAGGGAGCUUGCUCCCGGAUGUUAGCGGCGGACGGGUGAGUAACACGUGGGUAACCUGCCUGUAAGACUGGGAUAACUCCGGGAAACCGGAGCUAAUACCGGAUAGUUCCUUGAACCGCAUGGUUCAAGGAUGAAAGACGGUUUCGGCUGUCACUUACAGAUGGACCCGCGGCGCAUUAGCUAGUUGGUGAGGUAACGGCUCACCAAGGCGACGAUGCGUAGCCGACCUGAGAGGGUGAUCGGCCACACUGGGACUGAGACACGGCCCAGACUCCUACGGGAGGCAGCAGUAGGGAAUCUUCCGCAAUGGACGAAAGUCUGACGGAGCAACGCCGCGUGAGUGAUGAAGGUUUUCGGAUCGUAAAGCUCUGUUGUUAGGGAAGACAAGUGCAAGAGUAACUGCUUGCACUUGACGGUACCUAACCAAAAACCACGGCUAACUACGUGCCAGCAGCCGCGGUAAUACUUAGGUGGCAAGCGUUGUCCG
rnacentral:rRNA from 1 species